rnacentral:rRNA from 1 species
CUACGGGUUGCUGCAGUGAGGAAUAUUGCACAAUGGGGGGAACCCUGAUGCAGCAACGCCGCGUGGAGGAUGACGCAUUUCGGUGUGUAAACUCCUUUUAUAUGUCAAGAAAAUGACGGUAGCAUAUGAAUAAGCACCGGCUAACUCCGUGCCAGCAGCCGCGGUAAUACGGAGGGUGCAAGCGUUACUCGGAAUCACUGGGCGUAAAGGACGCGUAGGCGGGUUGGAAAGUCAGGUGUGAAAUCCUACAGCUUAACUGUAGAACUGCACUUGAAACUUCUAAUCUAGAGUAUGGGAGGGGAGAAGGAAUUAGUGGUGUAGGGGAAAAAUCCGUAGAUAUCACUAGGAAUACCUAAAGCGAAGGCGAUCUCCUGGAACAUUACUGACGCUAAGGCGUGAAAGCGUGGGGAGCAAACAGGAUUAGAUACCCGUGUAGUC